rnacentral:tRNA from 1 species
GUACUUGAAUGCGGUUGAAACAACCUCAAAAUAUGAAUAUAACUGACUCGAAAUCAGGUGUACGGAAACGUACCUAGGGUUCGAAUCCCUACCUCUCCGCCA